GUUUGAGGAUCUUUGGGCAGUGUGGGCAGGCAGGGGUCGUGCAGCACCACAAACAAUUCCCUGAAUCCAAAGCCAGGCUUGGAGAAGGAAUUCUGACCCCUCUGAGCUGCCACAGCACAACAGCUCCGGGGCCAGGGAGGGGAAAUCACAGAAAGCACUGCUGGGGCUGCCGGGGAGGGAGAAAGCUGCUGCUGGCCCUGGGGUGGGACAUGGGGGACAUGGGACAUGAGGGACAUCAUGGGGGACAUGGGGGAUACAAGGACAUGGGGGACACAGGGACAAGGGACACAGGGACACAGGGACACAGGGACAAAGGACACAGGACACAGGGACAAGGGACAGAGGGACAGAGGGACACAGGGACAAGGGACACAGGGACACAGGGACAAAGGACACAGGGACAUGUGGCACGGGUGGCACUGCUAGGGUGUGCAGGGCAGAGCUCCUGGGCUCCUGCUGGGGGGGUCAAGUCACCUCUUGUCACCUCUUGUCACCUCUUGUCACCUCUCCAGGACUGCUGGGGUGUUUAAGGAAGGAGAGUGCUGAGUCCCCAGAGGAAAUAUUUUGGUUUCCCUACAAAGUAUUUCAGACCUAGGCUUUAAACAAGGGAGCUUUAUUGGUUAUAUUUGUUUGAAAACAACAACGGCAAAUUAUUUAUCCAAAAAGAAUAUUUACUGACAACUGUGGCCUGGCCAAAACUGAAAAAUAAACCAUUUUUUUCUCCCUCCCCUCUGCCCACUUUUUCCCUCUCUUUUUACCAGAGGCCUUUUUAAGGUCUAAUGUAUUUUUCAAGCUGACAGCUGUUACUUUCUGCUCUGCUGCAGACAUCUCAAGCAUCUUGGCAGGGCCACACUUCCAGACAGGCUCACUGACCCCUUCUCUAGAGGUCCAGAUGGGUGCUCAUGGCUGGAGGCUCAGGGUGAUUUUUGGAGACUUUCCUCCCAGUUGUCCCAGUGCCAGCUGGGGACAGCAUCCCUGCAGUGAUGGGAGCUCUGCCCUGGUCCUCCGUGCCUCCAGCUGCAGACAAACCCCACCAGGAGCUACACGAGCUCAGUGCAGUCCUCUGGAAUAAUCCUGAGCUAAAGCAACAGGGAAGGGGUCUGAGCUCAACUGGGGAGGUUUCAGCAGGGUCAGGGGAGUCUCUGAAAUGUUCCUUUCGUGAUAAUUGAUAGAAGAUUUCUGUUAAUCACAGAAGUAUUGAGGUUUGUAUAAACCAGAAUGCUUAGGUCUGAAGCGAAGCAUGGCACUAGAUAAAGGAAAAUAUAUGAUUAAAUCAUUCUGUUUCAAAUCCCCCUGUUAUGAAUAUUAUGCUUUCUAAAUAAGUUGUAUCUACUACCAGCUUGCAAAACCAGACUUUCUGAUAGAUUUUGCAAGCUCAGGCUCGCUGCCUUUGUUCGAUCGAUGCUGUCUGUCCAUAAAGACCAGACUUCCCGAUGUGCACUGGUUUUAUCUACCAAGACCAGAGGGUUAUCUCUGAGACCUGACAAAUCACUCAGAGACUUCACAUCGCCCAGAGACUUCACGGGUGUUUUUUGACCACCACUGCUUACCUGGCAAAAAUGACAGCAAAAAGCAACAAUUAUUGACUACGAUGAGAAAACCAGACUAUAAAGAGAAGCUGCAAAGCGAAGUUGGACAGAGCGUGGAGUGGGUGGUGACCCCUCCCGUUUUCCCCAGCGCUGCUUUGCUCCGUCUAUAUAAAAUAAAGCAAUCUAAAUUUUGCUGAACAUCGAGA
rnacentral:lncRNA from 12 species